CGUGAUCUCCCUCAAGUUUCUGUACUGAAAGAGCCAAGAAAUACAAAUUAUAAACAACAACCACCUAAUGGGAUCACUAACGACACAUCAGACAGAAUCUUCGCAAGGUAAAGUCUUAAUACACUUCUGUUAAUUCAACAAUCACUAACCAUAGAAAAAUUAGCUCACAACGAAGACACGGCACAGUUAACACACAUCAGAUAGAAUCUUCGCAAGGUAAAGUCUUAAUACACUUCUGUUAAUUCAACAAUCACUAACCACAGAAAAAUUAGCUCACAACAAAGACACGGCACAGUUAACGGAGAAAGUUCUGGAGCAGUAUCAGGAUCAAAUUCAAAGAUAGCCUAUUGAUAUCAAUCAGCGUGAAAAUUGGAUGUUUGAAAAUGAAUUGAAUGCACACAACUGGAUUCUCAAGAGUUGGUAUAUGAAAUGAAGACAAAUAGACAAUCCACAACUAAUGCACCAGCUGUUGUGAAAGCUAAAUUACCAGCUGAUGCUUCGGGCAAUCUGUUAUAGAAAAAGGUCUUGUGAUUGUUGGUGUUCCGACAGGCCCUGAUGUUGGACAAAACUCUAAGGAAGUUGGGCAUCAAAAAACAGUAAUUGAUUGUUCCAGUAAUUGAUUGUUCCAUUGCUGAUCCACAAUCAACCCUGUUGAACCCACCAGUAGUUGAUCUAGGGGAAAAUUUUGAUCAGCUAAUAAUCUGUCUAUUCUGAAUGUAGUUAGAUGCUUUAUUGUCUGAAGUAUUUUCUGCUUAUAAUAGGAUGUUUUUCUUUGUCAUUAUGGGCAAAAAUCUUGAACAGUGGAGCAAACAAGUUGCUGAGUACUAAAUUAUUUCCUUUGUGAUGAUUGCAGUUUCAUGCUAUGCUGAAGGAACUGAUUCACAAGGCAAUUAGUGAGACUGCGGCAAGUUCCCUUCUUUUUCUAAUUACUGUUCCGAGCUUAUGAUACAUAAUUGCUGUGAACGUCUCAUUAUAAUACUCCAUUAUUUUGGUGUGUUAAAGGGUCCAACAACUGGACACGUGCUUCUAUGUGCAGGAGCUAAAGCAGUAUCCAUCCCUAC
rnacentral:lncRNA from 1 species